AAAUUGAAGAGUUUGAUCAUGGCUCAGAUUGAACGCUGGCGGCAGGCCUAACACAUGCAAGUCGAACGGUAACAGGAAACAGCUUGCUGUUUCGCUGACGAGUGGCGGACGGGUGAGUAAUGUCUGGGAAACUGCCUGAUGGAGGGGGAUAACUACUGGAAACGGUAGCUAAUACCGCAUAACGUCGCAAGACCAAAGAGGGGGACCUUCAGGCCUCUUGCCAUCGGAUGUGCCCAGAUGGGAUUAGCUUGUUGGUGGGGUAACGGCUCACCAAGGCGACGAUCCCUAGCUGGUCUGAGAGGAUGACCAGCCACACUGGAACUGAGACACGGUCCAGACUCCUACGGGAGGCAGCAGUGGGGAAUAUUGCACAAUGGGCGCAAGCCUGAUGCAGCCAUGCCGCGUGUAUGAAGAAGGCCUUCGGGUUGUAAAGUACUUUCAGCGGGGAGGAAGGGAGUAAAGUUAAUACCUUUGCUCAUUGACGUUACCCGCAGAAGAAGCACCGGCUAACUCCGUGCCAGCAGCCGCGGUAAUACGGAGGGUGCAAGCGUUAAUCGGAAUUACUGGGCGUAAAGCGCACGCAGGCGGUUUGUUAAGUCAGAUGUGAAAUCCCCGGGCUCAACCUGGGAACUGCAUCUGAUACUGGCAAGCUUGAGUCUCGUAGAGGGGGGUAGAAUUCCAGGUGUAGCGGUGAAAUGCGUAGAGAUCUGGAGGAAUACCGGUGGCGAAGGCGGCCCCCUGGACGAAGACUGACGCUCAGGUGCGAAAGCGUGGGGAGCAAACAGGAUUAGAUACCCUGGUAGUCCACGCCGUAAACGAUGUCGACUUGGAGGUUGUGCCCUUGAGGCGUGGCUUCCGGAGCUAACGCGUUAAGUCGACCGCCUGGGGAGUACGGCCGCAAGGUUAAAACUCAAAUGAAUUGACGGGGGCCCGCACAAGCGGUGGAGCAUGUGGUUUAAUUCGAUGCAACGCGAAGAACCUUACCUGGUCUUGACAUCCACGGAAGUUUUCAGAGAUGAGAAUGUGCCUUCGGGAACCGUGAGACAGGUGCUGCAUGGCUGUCGUCAGCUCGUGUUGUGAAAUGUUGGGUUAAGUCCCGCAACGAGCGCAACCCUUAUCCUUUGUUGCCAGCGGUCCGGCCGGGAACUCAAAGGAGACUGCCAGUGAUAAACUGGAGGAAGGUGGGGAUGACGUCAAGUCAUCAUGGCCCUUACGACCAGGGCUACACACGUGCUACAAUGGCGCAUACAAAGAGAAGCGACCUCGCGAGAGCAAGCGGACCUCAUAAAGUGCGUCGUAGUCCGGAUUGGAGUCUGCAACUCGACUCCAUGAAGUCGGAAUCGCUAGUAAUCGUGGAUCAGAAUGCCACGGUGAAUACGUUCCCGGGCCUUGUACACACCGCCCGUCACACCAUGGGAGUGGGUUGCAAAAGAAGUAGGUAGCUUAACCUUCGGGAGGGCGCUUACCACUUUGUGAUUCAUGACUGGGGUGAAGUCGUAACAAGGUAACCGUAGGGGAACCUGCGGUUGGA
rnacentral:rRNA from 1 species